GGUGAAUGACGCCGUAGAAACCCUACAGAACUUAAGCUGCAACUUUGCUAGUGCAGAAGUGAAGGCUCAGGUGUACCACGUCAUCACCUGUCUCCAGCCGUUAAGAAAAUUCGACAUGUGUGGAUGGUACACGCUGGACUACCCAUCGCUAGUAACGGCGGCGAGCGUUGUCAUUACGUAUUUGGUGAUUCUUCUUCAGGUUGGCGGCCUCCAGCUGCAGAAAUAAGCUGAGAUUCCCAGAGAGAGAGAGA